GACGAACGCUGGCGGCGUGCUUAACACAUGCAAGUCGAACGGACAGGAACUGCUUUUGUGGGGUGGUGGGGUGGCGAUCGGGUGAGUAACACGUGUGUAGGAUGCCCUUGACUUAGGGGAAAUUAUAGGGAAUUGGGGCUAAUAGCGGAUAGGUGCUCGUGCUGCGAUGGGGGGGCUGGAGAGUUUCGGCUGUUUGGGAUGGAGUCGUGGCUUAUCAGCUUGUUGGUGUGGUAGUGGCUUACCGAGGCUAUGCAGGGUGGCCGGCCUGAGGUGGGGACCGGCCACAUCGCGAUGGAGAUACGGCCCAGACUCCUACGGGAGGCAGCAGUGGAGAAGAGUGCACAAGAGGCGGAAGCCUAAUGCAACAACGCCGCGCGCGGGAUGACGGCCUGCGGUUUGUAUACCGCAGUCGCCUGUGACGAGACGUGAGUGACGGUAAUGGGUAAAGAAGCACCGGCUAACUACGUG
rnacentral:rRNA from 1 species